rnacentral:rRNA from 1 species
GAUGAACGCUGGCGGCGUGCCUAAUACAUGCAAGUCGAGCGAACAGACGAGGAGCUUGCUCCUCUGACGUUAGCGGCGGACGUGUGAGUAACACGUGGAUAACCUCCCUAUAAGACUGGGAUAACUUCGGGAAACCGGAGCUAAUACAGGCUAAUAUCUUGAACCGCAUGGUUCAAUAGUGAAAGCCGGUUUUGCUGUCACUUAUAGAUGGAUCCGCGCCGCAUUAGCUAGUUGGUAAGGUAACGGCUUACCAAGGCGACGAUGCGUAGCCGACCUGAGAGGGUGAUCGGCCACACUGGAACUGAGACACGGUCCAGACUCCUACGGGAGGCAGCAGUAGGGAAUCUUCCGCAAUGGGCGAAAGCCUGACGGAGCAACGCCGCGUGAGUGAUGAAGGUCUUCGGAUCGUAAAACUCUGUUAUUAGGGAAGAACAAAUGUGUAAGUAACUAUGCACGUCUUGACGGUACCUAAUCAGAAAGCCACGGCUAACUACGUG